GAGGCUCUGGUCAAGAAAAUGAAGGAAGGAUAUGGCAGGAUAUUAAUUGAGAAUAAUUGAGACUGGGAUCUCAAUAAACAAGCUUCUACAGUCAGCGGAGUCAUCAGGAUCGGAAUAUCAUUGGCAUUAAACUGUGGAAGGAAAAAGGGUGCUAGAUGGUGAAGAUUUGCAGACUGAAAUCUCAAAAUCAUGUGCCAAUCGUGAUUGAGCUAUCCAGAAUUUGACAAACCAAAGAUGGGGAAUUACUCGGCCAAAAUCCUGCAACACUCUACCUCCCAGCAUUGUCGGUCUAUCUGCGCCAAAUGGAUGCGAUUGGUUCAAGACGGCAGCUCACUACCAUCUUCUUAAGGGUACCUAGAGAUGGGGAAUAAAUGCUGGCUGAGCCAG